AACGAACGCUGGCGGCAUGCCUAACACAUGCAAGUCGAACGGGAUCUUCGGGUCUAGUGGCGCACGGGUGCGUAACGCGUGGGAAUCUGCCCUUUGGUUCGGAAUAACAGUUGGAAACGACUGCUAAUACCGGAUGAUGACGAAAGUCCAAAGAUUUAUCGCCAGAGGAUGAGCCCGCGUAGGAUUAGCUAGUUGGUGUGGUAAAGGCGCACCAAGGCGACGAUCCUUAGCUGGUCUGAGAGGAUGAUCAGCCACACUGGGACUGAGACACGGCCCAGACUCCUACGGGGGGCAGCAGUGGGGAAUAUUGGACAAUGGGCGAAAGCUUGAUCCAGCAAUGCCGCGUGAGUGAUGAAGGCCUUAGGGUUGUAAAGCUCUUUUACCCGGGAUGAUAAUGACAGUACCGGGAGAAUAAGCUCCGGCUAACUCCGUGCCAGCAGCCGCCGUAA
rnacentral:rRNA from 1 species